UUUAUAACGUGAUGGCGCUGUGUGAGUCAUCCGUGCUGGGGACUGAACUCGCAGACCUACCGGUCUAAAUCCAAGAGCUGCCACAGCCUGAGGUUUAACAGUCUUUUCUGAAGUGAUGACUGAAGGGACCAGAAGACACCAAACCAGGCAACUGUGACCUCCACAGGCUCUCUACAGGCUCCACAACACCGAAUGCCAGCGCAGAGUUAGCUCUGGGACCUGGCUGUUGCGUGUGUCUGUGAUGUGACAUGGAAAGAUGAACCAGCUGCCAGGAACCCGCUUGGCAGGUAUGAUGCUGUGCAGCGGUUUGUCCAGGCCCUGCCUGUCUGCCACAGAUCAUUACGUGUUCCUGUUUCGAGGCUCUACCUCUCCGUGCUGUCUCAAUGCAACGGAUGCAUUAUUUCUCCUUGGACACAAUAAUUUGACGGUGCAUACUAAAAACCCCAGAACUGUGGAGACGUCCAGCUCCUGAAUUACCUGGGAGAUGUGACAUGUCUAUUACCGCAGGUGUGCACGUGGAUGGAAAAGAGGGCUCACAAGAGCUGUUCUUCCCCGUGGAAGCGCAGAAUGCUGAGCUGUGAUGCUGUCUGUUGAGAGAAACCCCCGUGACACAGAGUGGCAGCUCCCUGCCUGCAACGAGGGUAGCAAACCCAGCCUGAACCGUUAUCUUCAUGUGUGCUGUCGUAGCUCCAGGGACUAUGACCUUGCUUUGAAAGGUAUUUAAUGUCUACAAGGAAGAUACAGUCAAAACAAUUCCCUUCUAUCAAAGUGAAACACGGCAGAAAAAGAAGUGAAAAGAAAGAGUGAGAGGAGACUGGGCAGUAUUUCAGCUGUGCUGAGGAGCAGCUCUUUCCUGUUUUGAGGUGGAUGUCUGCCCAGGGCCGCCUCAGGUGCCAAGCUGGCCCUGGGCGCUCAGGUCUGGAUCCUGAAUCUGAACCACGUCUGAGGAUGGCGCAGCUGGAAAUGGAUCAGGAAACAGAGUUCAGAGGGGACACGGGCAACCUAGUGGUGGCUCUGGCAUCCCCUCUCCCUCCUUCACACGGACAUCUCAUUUACUGUUUUCUUAGUUCCUGUUUAAUACUGGCACAAAGUCUUUUUCCUCUAUAGCAGCUUUAGCAACACGCCUUGCAACGCAGCCCUUCAGGUGGGACAAGGGAAAAACGUGAGUGAAGGCAGGCCUGAGACGUAGUGAGCGUCUGAAGACGCUGAAGCUUCCUUAAAACUUUCUCCCUAAGAUUCAUCCAUUCCUCCAGUGGCAGUAGUCUGGGGCUUGACUCCUCCUCUGUGUGCAGAAUGUUUGCAGGUGGGACACCUUCCUCCACCUAAACCUUGCUUCUGGGUGCCCCAUUAGCCUCCUGCCCACAGCCUCUGCUGCGGGGACUUGUUGGGUCCUUAAACCAAUGGAAGAGGCUGAGGGCAAAUCCAUGAGCUGGACCAAGCGUACUUUGCAGUGUCCUUCCCUGACCUGUGUAAAUCCACCCUUGUGUCCACUCACGCUGUAUCUGCACUACAAGCGCUUUGACUUCUUGCUUUGUCUUCUCACAAUGAGCAAUACCAGUGGAAUCUCAUCCACACCUGCAGUUCUCAGAUGUCACCAUGGUAAAAAUGAUUACAAUACAGCUGUGUGCUUUAAACAUUAUGUCCUGAGGCAGGUGGCAUCUACUAAUAAAAGAUGGAUUUAAUCCUUUGUUACUGGCUCACCCAGAAGUCCUACAUAAUAGGAGCAUUGCUUAAGAGGCAUUCAAGAUCUUGUGCAAUCAUACUUAACCCUUUCAUGAUGCUGCUAGUGACAUUUACGGCUACUCAGAAAUUAAUAUCUCAGAUUUCCAUAAGGCAGACUUUACCCAGGAGAAAAAAAAUCCACUUUUCAAUAUCUGUUUUCAUCCCCGAAUUGAGAAGAAAUAUUUUAACUUCCACAAAACAUGAAACUCUGCAAAAUGUCUACGUCCACUUGACAAAAUCAAGAGACUCAACCCUUUCAUUAAAGGUGGAACAACAACAUUCUGAACAUUCAAAUGUUUGAAAUGUUUCCUUGAAAAGCUAAUUAAAAUAUUCCAUUAAAAAAUUUAAAUUGGAGAUAUAAUAGUAGCAAUAUUUUCUGGAAGAGAGGCAGUAUUUGAGACCGCAUAUUUUGCAAUUGACAGAAAAUCUGGUUAGAACUUGAGAACACAACAGGGAAACUGAGGCACAGCAGAAGCCACAGGACUUGCUCAAAGACAUAGAAGAGUGACUUCAGAGCCGCGGUUAAAAUUCAUGAGGCCGUAACUUUCAGAGCUGCUCUCUGCUGACUGGAACACACCAAGUAGAACCUGUUGUAUCUGAUGCCCUGUACAAGACCUUCAGCACUGUGUGACUUGCUUUCCAGGGUAUGAAGAAAAAUCUCAGGUUUUUAACAGCCCCGCAGUGUCCUGAGUCCCAUGGGCUCAUUUUUCUGUAGCUAUUUAUUUGCUUGGUUAUCCCAGCCCGAGCAGCCUGUGCGAAGUACCCUGAGGUGAUACCCUCAGGCAUUGACUCGAGGGGGAGCUGUUUGCCUGUAAAUGAGAAUAGCACUCAUUCUUUUCAGGCACUGCUGAAUCAUUUCACCUUUUUUUUUUCAGAAUUGUUAUGCACAGUCCUGCCAUUUACCAGGUCAGAUGUCAGAGUCUGCCCCGUCUGUGUGGUGCCUAUGGUCACCUUGCUGGUCACAGGGGUUGGAAGAGCUGGACACAUCACACUUUUGAAGGUGGGGAGGAGUUUGUUAGAUGCGUGAGUCCCAGGCUGUUUUCCCACAAGAUAAUUCAGAUUAAGCAGCAAGGGGAGAACCAGGGCUGCCUGGAGACCCAGAGACGUCCACACAAGCUCCUUAGGCAGUCAUGCAGGCAAUAUGCAGAUAUAGGUAGAUGCGCUGUUAGGAUGUCAGACUUGCCAGACCCACUCUCUGUCUGUCUGUUAACGGAGACCUCGGGGAUGGCUGAAAGGUGAGAGUUCUCAUCCUUCCAGCCAGACUCAGUGUGGAGUUCGAUGACCCAUCUGGCUGGCACCCAAAGCUGAAGUUUUGGGAUUCCCACCCCGAGCUCUGAAGCCAUUUCACCUGCCUUUAAAUAGAACAGGGCUUUGAGGGAAACUGGAACUGGAACAAAGCUCCUUCCCCUCUGUGGGGCCAGCAGGGUCGAUGAAGAAGAAGCUGAGGGUGAAACCAAUUAAUUCAUUCAUUACUGAGCUACUGCAGUCACAAAGAUAUUUCAAUUGUGCUUGCUGGGAGGUCCUCAUGAGAGAUACAUCUCAUUUUCAGCGGGGUCCCCAAGGGGAGGACAUAGUCAGACAAUUUCAUUCCUGCUGACUACAGGGUAAUACAGAUGUUCCAGGGAAAAUGUGCCCUCUUGUCACCUGAAAUUUCACUCCAGAAUAGGCAACGGUUUGAGUGAGAUCAGACCCUCAGUACUCACAAGGAAGCCUUUCAAGCCCCUCAAUCACGAUUCCACCAGAAACCACAUGCUCUGGGCUGUAGUCGUCUGCCCCAAACUCAUCACUGUGGCCUGAAGGGCACAUCAUGCAGCUGUAUUUGCGUCCAUGCCAAUUGUAUGGCCUCCCUGUACUGCAGGCACCCCUUUACUCUCUGAUCUUGUGAGUGAAGUUUAAUGAAUUUAAAUAUGAAUUCAGGUAAUUUAAAAAAAACCUGCAAAGGUCUAAUCACUGAAUAGCUUUUAUUACAAGGUACGGUACUUUUUUUGUGUACCUUUGCACUCCAAAGCAGAGAGCAGAUGUCAGUUGCUUAAUCACAGUGGUGAUUUCAAACCCUUUGCUCCUUCCAGAGAGAUUUUCAGGAGUUCUGCAAUCAGUAUCUCGAAAUCUUCUGAAGAUAUAGCCGUGUAUUGGAGGAUUUGGCUGGGUAAUGUUUCAGGGGAAAAAAUGUCAUCCUGUCUGAAUAUACCAUGUUAGCAAGAGAGAAAAUGUACCUAUCGACAGAUGAACAGACAAAAAGAGCCUGCAAUUCUUGAGAAAUAACCAGAACUUUUCAGUCAUUUCCAUCUACCUGACAGCAAAGUUCACCUGCAAAGCAAGGGCAGGGUCUAAACAGCUAUAGCAUAAUCUGAAAAACACUGAAGUGACUAGGGCUAUGGAGUAAAAGCACUAAAGUGCUGAUGAAUCUAGUCCAUUCCUUUUAUAUAUAGAGGACACAGAUUGUACAAACAGUCCCUUCCUGGGCUGGGCUGAAAUCUCAAGAGGAGUGAUACAUCAACAGGAGGAAAAGACUGAAAUUCAUGGAAGGUUCAGUGACAGCAAAGGAGCAAAGUAAUAACUGCUUCUCCUUUCUUGUCUUGCCAAACAGGGAUUGUUCAUAAAACGGAACAAGCUUUCUCAGUUUUGAGGAAAGAAGGAUGUAUGGAAACAUUGGUUUUACAGUUCUGUAAAAAAAGUCCUUAUACCUGAUGCCAACAUAAUGUGAAACUUUGCUAUGCACUUGGUUAAGUAUAAGAGUAGCCAGGACUGCCUAAAUCCAGGUCAACUGAGGGUGAAUUAAUUCGGGUUUGUAGAUGCAGGUGGCUGACUUUCCAUUAAGUGCCUCAUGCCCCUAUUUCAUGAGGUGCAUGUGCUGAGGGGUGUUGUAUUUUCCAUGCCUGGAAAAUUACUUGGGCUUCUGAAUGGUGAGAAGAAGAGAGGGGAUAAAGGCUUAGCAGAGUCUGUCAGAAACUGAAAGUUUCAUGUUUCCAUGUCCCACAUUCAAUGCUUUUUGUUUUCUUUCAAAGCUCUGAUACAUAUAUAGAGAGAUUUUCUUUCUUCCAUUCCCAUUUUCAGUACCCAGCCAGGAACCAAAAGUGCUAGAAAUACUUCUAAGGGAUGUCUGCAUAGCCAAUUGUCCAAUUUCACAGGCCUUAAUGGCUUCUACUGGAACUUGCACACCCCUCUCUGUCUGCUAUGCUGCACACCAGACACAGCAAAUGUCAAUGACAAAAAGCCAAGGUAAGUGGCCAAAACAAACCCUUUGAUAUACAGGAGACUGAAAGGGAUUAUUUUUCACUAUUUAUUUUUUUUUAUUUUCAAGAUCUUUUAUUCUUAAUAUAUCUACUUUUUAGUAGGAGAAGAAAAGACAUCAAAAGUGUGACACACAGCUAACUUUAGGGCUGAACUGAAUAACUCUUUAAUGACAUAUAUCUUUACAUUAAAAUCCCAGAUGGUCAUUUUCUCAGUCCACUGAAUUUACAAUAUUCAGCAGAUAACUACAGAGGGAAAAAAGCACCCCCCAUCAUUUGAAGCUCUCUCUGGCCAGAUCGCCUCAGCUAUUCAGACACUGGUGUCCCCACAGGUGAAUGCAGAGCCCUUCUUUCCCCCCCAUAGUGCACAGGUCCUGAGUUUGUUCUGCUGUACCACUCCAUCCGCCACAAGCUGAUGCUCUGACAUUUCGGACAAUGCACCAUUUGCCCAGAAGGGUUUUGCCCUGUUAAAAGCAAGCUGGGCCUGCAGACAGCCCUAUUAGCAUCAGUGUACUAAGCAGCUGGGAAAUAAUCUUGCUGGUCAGAGGACACUGAGCCGGGGAUGGAGGCAGCGCACGGUUCAUCUGGCACUGGUGUCCGUGGUCCAUCCUGCUGUAAGCUGAGGGCAGCACAAGCGCUGCCUGGGCAGACCUCCCCAGGGGUAGCUAGAAGAAGGAAGGAUGCAAAACCUUCUCCCUUGCUCAGCAGCCAGUGUGACAGCUGAGACGCCUCAGCCAUUUGGCUGACUGUGACACUGACCUUUCUCUAUAACCUUGGCUACAACCAUCUUCCCAAGCUUUAGUUUCUCCAGCUAUAAAAUUGAGACACCAGCACUACAAUUUGUUUUCUUGCAAUGCUUUCCUAAUGAAGAAAAGCAUGUUUUGCCUCUUAAACCACUCCAUCCUGCUUUGCGGAGCAGCACACACAUACCAGCCAGCUUGAAGUGUUGCAGAUUUGUACCAGGUUGUUACAAGGGGCACAGACGAAACUCAGGGGCUCUGACAGUUGGUCUUUCCCCUGAGCCAGGCUCAUUACCUAACUAACGUCCCUGGUUUGACUCCUAAUUCUCCAGAAAUACACAGAAGAAAACCGAAAGAGUGAAUUAAGAAAUGAACCUGAGAAACAGAGGGGCUGAUUCUCCGCCACCCUGUGCCAAGCCCUCUGUGUGCAUCCUGUAUCCUGCUGCUGGGCUCUGCCUGCACGGGAGGAUGAGCAGGAACUGCCUCUGAAAGCCUCAAUCCCUACAUUUAUUUAAGCAAAGCUUCAGAUGGCUGACGGGGAUCAGUGUAAAAUGAAUGAUUCCACAUGGCAGCGCAGUCAUAUCCCCCUCCUUCCUUGGCUUUUUUCUUUCCUACAAGAAAAAUGAAAUCCCCAAAGUCUGUCUGCCUGUCUGCUGCUUUCAGGGGGGUGGGUGGUUGCUCUGCUUAAUCAAACUCUGGUGUUCUCAA